GCCUUCAUAGCUCAGUGGUUGAGCGUUAACCGACAAACCAGGAGGUCAAGGUUCAAUUCCUGGUCAGGGCA
rnacentral:tRNA from 1 species